rnacentral:RNase_P_RNA from 1 species
GGAGUGGGACGGAUGGUCGCCGACCUUUGAAAAAGGGUUGGAGGAAAGUCCGGGCUCCACAGGGCAGGACGCCGGGUAAUCCCCGGCGGGGGCAACCCCAGGGAAAGCGCCACAGAAAGCAAACCGCCGCGCUUGUCGGAUCACGUCGUGCUCACGCACGGGGCCGGCAACCGAGGGCAAGGGUGAAAGGGUGCGGUAAGAGCGCACCGCGCGUCCCGGUAACGGGAGCGGCACGGCAAGCCCCGUCCGGAGCAAGACCACAUAGGGGGGCGUUCUAAAGACGGCCCGUCCAGCCCCCGGGUAGGUCGCUACAGAUGUCCGGCAACGGCCAUCGCAGAGGAAUGACCGUCCCCCCGUCUCCCCACGGGACAAGGUUGCGGGGGACAAAACCCGGCUUACAGGCCCACUCCGGUC